UCGGUUUUUAAAAUUUCAGGUAAUUUUAAUUCACAUCAGGUAAUACAUUCACUCGGCAAAAUCUGGCGCAGCUCAGAUUUUACAGGGUUCCCGCAGCCGGUUCCAAGUUCAGAGAUUGCUGGGAAACGGCGUGUCCCGGAAGGGGAGCAUCAUGGACAGCUCCUCGGUUGGCAGCCAGGUAGCGAGCUUCCUUCUGGGCAACAACGGCGACGGUUGGUUGAUAAGCGUAAGCG